rnacentral:rRNA from 1 species
UACGUAGGUGACAAGCGUUGUCCGGAUUUACUGGGCGUAAAGAGCGCGCAGGCGGUCGAUCAAGUCGAGUGUGAAAGCCCCCGGCUCAACUGGGGAGGGUCAUUCGAUACUGAUCGACUCGAAGGCAGGAGAGGGUAGUGGAAUUCCCGGUGUAGUGGUGAAAUGCGCAGAUAUCAGGAGGAACACCGGUGGCGAAGGCGGGACUCUGGGCCGAUACUGACGCUGAGGAGCGAAAGCGUGGGGAGCGAACAGG